rnacentral:lncRNA from 1 species
GUCUGUCAUGUCCAGCCUGUGAAGAGCACGCUGGCUGAGCUGGCGAGAGGGGUGGGGGCGUCCUGGGGCUGCUUCUGCUCUGAUGAAGGCACCCACUGUCACUGUCCCGGCCCUCGCUGAGUGUUCCCGGACCCGUGGGCCCGCGUCUGUGCCAGGCCUUGGGGAGCUCCAGCCUCGGAGCCUCUUCCCGUUCUCAGACCUCAGUGCGAGGAGGAAAUCGGGUGCCUAGUGGGGCACUACCUGUCUGGAAGUAUUUUACACGAAGUUUAAGCCUUGAGAUUUCCUGGAGCAGGACCUCUGAAGUCACCAUCACAAAUGGCAGGCCCACACAAGGACUGAUUUACUUCUGACUCACCCAUGGCCUUCAGGCUUAGAGUUGGGGCCUUGUCGGAUUCCUCUCUCUUACCAACUCUGGGCUUUGACUCUGUUGUCCCUAAUGCCAUGCUGAUAAAUAAUUAAUAACUGGCUCUUCAUAAAAAAAAACAGUUUUGAUCUGUAGCACCUGCCAAUUCCCAUGGUGUAAACACUCCUGCCAUGGCUGACUUCAAGUUACCAACACAACAUCACUGAGUGUGGGAUUGGAAAAAGAUGCCCAUGGCUGGCUCUUAAGAGUCCUCUGAGCCUUGCUGGUUCUCCCUCACCUGCCAUUGAGGGGGCUGAUGGGUGCAACAGUCAUUCCUGAGGCUGCAAAGUUCUUUAAAGCAGAAGCAGCUGACUCUUGCUUAUGUUUUGCAGUACUUGCUGGGCUCUCAACUCCUCCAAGGUUUUGGCCUGGUAGUGCAUUCUUUGCUACCUGAUUUGCUCUUUUCUGCUUUAAAGAAGAUUGGAAAAAAAUUUUUUUUUUGAGACAGGGUCUCACUCUGUCACCUAGGCUGAUCGUGGCUCACUGCAUCCUCCACCUCUCAGGCUCAAGGGAUCCUCCUACCUCAGCCCCCCAAGUAGCUAAGACCACAGGUGUGCGCCACCACAUUAGGCUAGGUUAUUAUUAUUUUUUUUUUGUAUUUUUGGUAGUAGAGACGGGGUUUCUCUAUAUUGUCCAGGCUGGUCCUGAGCUCCUGGCCACGAGUGAGCCACCCACCUUGACCUCCCAAAGUGCUGGGAUUAUAGGCAUGGGCCACCAUGCCUGGCCAAUUGAAAUAUUUUAAUCCAGCUUUUCUAGUUGUGUUCAGUGGAAGAGUUGGUCCUAGUCACUAAUCUGCUACUUAUGGACAGAGACAUCUCCUAUUUUCUGUUGUAAGGACAGGAAAAAGCAGAAAAUAUAGAAAAGGAAAUAAAGAGCAACCAUCUCUCAAUAGUACUGCUGCCCAACAAGAACACUGCUGACAUUUGGAAACUGUUUUCCAAUUUGAUUCUUAUUGGAAAGCAUAACAACCAGCCAGGGCCUGUGCUGCUGGAGCGGGCAGUUAUGUGCAGGGAGACAGCUGGUUACGGCUGGCUCCUGGCCUCGACGGAGCUUCUCAGCCUCUUGGAGCCUCUGUCCCCUCAGCUGCUGAAGGAACACAUCUCCUGCACUUCUCAAGUUGCUGCCGGUGCGAAGGUGACUCCAGAUUCUGCAGUUUGGGCUCCGUAGCUGCUCAGCAAAUGUCAGCAGGUCCAGAAGCAAGGCUCCUCAGCUGCAGAGUGAAUGCAAAUGUCCCCAUUGUAAAUGGCCGUGGGGCCCAGGGCUCUGCAACCUUGGAUGCCCAGGAUCAGACCAGCUGUCCGCCGCUUUGGAAUCUGGGUUUAUGGGGGACCCGGGCCUCAUAAAUGUCAAAGCGUGCAUUCUCGGCAGUCCAGGAGUCGGAAAACGUGUCUCUGAGGGGAGCAUUCCUUCCAUGCACACAGCUGCCUGGCUCACGUUUUUAUCCUCGAGCCAUAAUUAGUCCUUUCCCCUGACCCUGAAUUCCUGCCCCGGCCAGAAGCAUGCUGUGGCCCUGGGGCCCGCGGCUCCUGGUGGUCGGUGCCCCUUCUGCUCUCCUGCAGCUGCGGCAGGUGGAAGAGCUGUCGGGGGUGGGAAGGGGGCUUGGAGGGAUAAGGAUGGGCUGGGGAGGGCUCCCAAGGCAGUGGACACUGUGGGCUCUGGGGACUGCAUGGCUGUGGAGGGGGCAUGUGCUGUUGGGCUCCCAGCCUCUUGGGGUCCUCUCUGUGCCAAGAUAGAGCCUGUUACCCUCCCUGAGCAGGUGUGAGCAGACACCUGUCCCCUGCCCUGCAUGGGAAGUGAACGAUCCACUAAGUGGGGAGGUCAGGGUCAGAUCCCCGGCCUUCCCAUGCAGGAUGACUGCUCAGGCCCAGGACAGUGGGUGGUCAACAGAAACCCCAUCCCUGCCCAUAGAGGGUGCUUCCCAGUUCACAGUGACACAGCCUGGCCUGCUCCUCUUCCAGCCACCCAAGGCAAGACACAGAGCAGGAGGCUGAGGCUGGUGUGAGGGAAAGGGGGAUGCAGCAAGGGGAUACCUCAACCUUGCCCGAGCUACAGACAGGUGAGGACUUCUCCCUCACCUGGUGUUUUCCACUGCAUUCUGAAGAGCAGGUGACACCCACCCCAGGGUGGAUCCAGGAUGGAUCUCUGGGUUUCCUGCCAUCUACAAUGACCCUCCUCAUUUCCCCUGGCUAGCUGCCCCCUAGGAUGGAGAAUGCAUCAUGGUCACUGACACUUGGCGCCCUUUUCCAGCCUCAAUGGCCUGGCAGAGCCAGUGGGGACACAGCAAUAAUGUGGGUGGCAGUAAUAACAGCAGCUGAACCACCUGAGCACCAUCCUGACGAGGCAUAGCCUGAGCUCUGUGAACAGUGAAGUCCAUCUGGUCUCUCAGUGGCCUGAGAGUGACUCUAACUAUUAUCCUCAUUCUCUGAAGGAGGAAAACAAGGCAAGGGGAUUUAAAUAAUUUUUAAAGGUCAGAUACCUUCACAAAGGCUGAAGUGGGAGUCAGAUGAUAGUGUCUGGGUGGAGACCCCAUACUCUUACCCUCAACUCUGAGCCAUCUGCUAUACAACAUCUAUUUGCUGAGUGGAAGGUGUGUAGCCUGAACCAUGCUCACUUCUGGUCCAGAGCUCUUUCCUCAGGGCCCUGGGACAUUCACGUUUAGUGUACAGUGGUAUAUGUAUGCUGAAUUCCUACAUUAGGCCAGCCACAUAGUCAGCACUGAUUGCUAAAAGAAUAACUGAAUAAGGAUAAAUGCUUGAGGGGAUGGAUACCCCAUUCUCCAUGAUGCGAUUAUUUCACAUUCCCUGCUUGUAUCAAAACAUCUCAUGUACCCCAUAAAUAUAUACACCUACUAUGUACUCACAAAAAUUAAAAAUUAAAAAAGAUACAAGUUAAACAUCUGGCCAGUUAUAAUGAUAUGAAAAGUAAUAAGGACAAAAUAUAAAUAAAAGAUUAUAAGCAACAAUAGCAAAAAGCAUAAUUGGAUAAAAGGAAAAAAAAAUCCCAUUCCAUGAUGAAGAAACUAAGGUUCUAGGGAGCCAGGAAGUGGGGUCCGGGCUCCUGGCUGAGCUCUUAACCCAGAGCCCUAGCAGUUACAUUUUCCACAGAAGGACAGAAUGAGCACAUGGGAGAGGCUUACUUGAAGUCCCCUUGCCAUCAAGGGGCAAGGGUGGCACCUACCUCUCUUUGGGCAGGGCCCUGAUCCUGCUGGAUGGGGGCUGCCAGGGCUGCUGCUGAGCAGACUCCUAGGCUGAUUCCUGGACCUGAUUUUCAUUGACGCUGCAAAGACCUCAGCAGAGCGCCUUUGCGCCCUGAUGAGAUUGACACACAGCUCAAACACACUGCAUCCUUGUGGGGGUGGAGGAGAUGCACAGACCCUGGCAGAAUGCAAGAGAAGCCUGUUUAAUGUGUCGACAGGAAGUAUCAACCUGCAGCAGAAUUGCAAUGCAGUCUGUCCUGGGAGGCCAGGGGCUGGGCAGGCGGGGCAGGCGUUUGCCUUGCCUCGUGGGCCACUCCCAGGAUGACUCCUAGCCUGGCCAGGAUGAAGGCUUUGGCCAGCGUUGACGCUGUUUCCCAAUGCAGAGAUCACUCUGACACAGGCCAGCAUUGCCUCGGAGGUGGCCCAGAGCUGGGCGGGAGGGAGACAGGCAGAUAGCAGGGAAGAAUGAGCCAUCUCUGUCCCCUCAGCUGGGGUGCCCAGAUUCAGAGGUCUCAUGGUGAUGGCUGCCUUCCUGGACCUACUCCUGGUUGGGCUCAGAGACUGGUCCAGGGAAGGGCCUACACAGCACUCUACAGUGCAAGAGAUGCCGUCUUGGCCCUGGGGCCUUUGAGAGUCCGCCCCUCCAGAGGAGCUGGGGCCACAGGGUGCCCUGGCCGGGGAGUCAGGAGGCCUGCAGUGCCAGGGCCCUCUUGCUGGCCGUGGGGUGUGUGCCACUGUGAGCGAGCGGAAGUGUGUGCAUGUGUGAGUGGGUGAGAGUGUGUGUGUUGUGCAUUGAUGUGAGUGUGAGAGUGUGUGUGUCCCCGAGGAGGGGACAGAUGUCUAUGGGAGGGCUCCGCUCUGGACUGAGAGCACAAGUCUGUGAGUCAGGACCUCCCGGAGCCGUGGUCCGGGGCUGUGUGCUUGGGGUGGUGAGAGGCCCCUGGCACCUCCAGCGGCUCCCAGUCCUGUGUGGGUCCUGCAGCCUGUGGUGCACAGGGCAGUGGGGAAUGGUCCUGGGGGCCACACGAAGCCUUGGGGAAGUGCUGCAUUUCCAGGCUGCAGAGGGCUUUGGGGUGCCGACUGCUGAACGAGGGGCUCCCUGCACUGCGGUCACCCUGUGGCAGUGUCGGGAUGGGAGGACAGGGCCUUUGGGGGCUGCUGGGC